CACGGGGGGAGCAAGCGUUGUUCGGAAUCACUGGGCGUAAAGGGCGUGUAGGCGGUUGAGCAAGUGGAAUGUGAAAUGCCCCGGCUUACCCGGGGACCGGCAUCCCAAACUGCUUGACUUGAGUACGGGAGAGGAUGGAGGAAUUCCUGGUGUAGCGGUGAAAUGCGUAGAUAUCAGGAGGAACACCGGUGGCGAAGGCGUCCAUCUGGCCCGAUACUGACGCUGAGGCGCGAAAGCUAGGGUAGCAAACGGG
rnacentral:rRNA from 1 species